AAAAUAUCAAAAUGUACCUAUAAAGACGUAGCAGUGUAUUUAUGAUACUCAAUAUUUGCUUUAAGAUCCUCCUUUAAGAUAUUUACAGUAAGCAAGCCACCGAUCAAUAGUUCAAGUUCUUGUUCAUUAAAUAUGAAAAUUGGUCGUUUAAGCAUAAUAUCAUAAAAUCCUUCCAAGAAUAGACCUGUAGUUAGGAAGAUUUAAAAUAUAAAAAUAACGUAGAACGUGAAAA